GCCCCUGUGGCGGAAUUGGUAGACGCGGCAGACUCAAAAUCUGUUUCACUUUGUGAGUGGGAGUUCGAUUCUCCCCGGGGGCACCA
rnacentral:tRNA from 6 species